rnacentral:rRNA from 1 species
UACAGAGGGUGCGAGCGUUAAUCGGAAUUACUGGGCGUAAAGCGCGCGUAGGUGGUUAAUUAAGUCAGAUGUGAAAUCCCUGGGCUCAACCUAGGAAUGGCAUAUGAAACUGGUUAGCUAGAGUACGGUAGAGGGAAGUGGAAUUUCCGGUGUAGCGGUGAAAUGCGUAGAUAUCGGAAGGAACAUCAGUGGCGAAGGCGACUUCCUGGACCGUUACUGACACUGAGGCUCGAAAGCGUGGGGAGCGAAUGGG